GUUGUCCUGAGACGUUGGUGACUGCCAAUAAUGUUUUGUGAUCUAUGCCUGUUUAAAAAGGGAGCCAUAGAGUUUGAGCUGCGGUAGACCGGGCUUGUACCCGGAAACUUUGAAGCUAUCACCGAUGGUGCCCACCUGGUUCAUCCAGGUCAAAAACUGAGGUAAGACGGCGUUGCGGGAUACCU
rnacentral:other from 1 species